ACCUUCGGGUACGAGUAGAGCGGCGGACGGGUGAGUAACGCGUAGGAAUCUACCUAGUAGAAGGGGAUAGCCCGGGGAAACUCGGAUUAAUACCGUAUACCUCCUUAGGGAGAAAGAGGGCUUAGCUUUGAUGCUCUCGCUAUUAGAUGAGCCUGCGUAAGAUUAGCUUGUUGGUGAGGUAAUGGCUCACCAAGGCGACGAUCUUUAGCUGGUCUGAGAGGACGAUCAGCCACAUUGGGACUGAGACACGGCCCAGACUCCUACGGGAGGCAGCAGUGGGGAAUAUUGGACAAUGGGCGCAAGCCUGAUCCAGCCAUACCGCGUGUGUGAAGAAGGCUUUCGGGUUGUAAAGCACUUUAAGUAAGGAGGAAAAGAUUGUAGUUAAUACCUGCAAUCCGUGACGUUACUUACAGAAUAAGGACCGGCUAAUUCCGUGCCAGCAGCCGCGGUAAUACGGAAGGUCCAAGCGUUAAUCGGAAUUACUGGGCGUAAAGCGCGCGUAGGUGGUUUUUUAAGUUGGAUGUGAAAGCCCUGGGCUCAACCUAGGAACUGCAUCCAAAACUAGAUGACUAGAGUACGAAAGAGGGAAGUAGAAUUCACAGUGUAGCGGCGGAAUGCGUAGAUAUUGUGAAGAAUACCAAUGGCGAAGG
rnacentral:rRNA from 1 species